rnacentral:rRNA from 1 species
UAAUACGGAGGAUGCGAGCGUUAUCCGGAUUCAUUGGGUUUAAAGGGUGCGUAGGCGGCUUUUUAAGUCAGUGGUGAAAUCCUGUCGCUUAACGAUAGAAUUGCCAUUGAUACUGAUAAGCUUGAGUACAGUUGAGGUAAGCGGAAUGUGUAGUGUAGCGGUGAAAUGCUUAGAUAUUACACAGAACACCGAUUGCGAAGGCAGCUUACUAAACUGCAACUGACGCUGAUGCACGAAAGCGUGGGGAGCGAACAGGAUUAGAUACCCUGGUAGUCCACGCCGUAAACGAUGAUCACUCGCUGUAUGCGAUACACAGUAUGCGGCCAAGCGAAAGCAUUAAGUGAUCCACCUGGGGAGUACGAUCGCAAGGUUGAAACUCAAAGGAAUUGACGG